CUGCCAGCCUCAUCAACGAAAGAAACAUAUGACUUGCUGUUUCUGAUGUAGCCAAUCCAACCUCGAUCCAUCUUAAGAACCAACAGUCUGUUUUGCUUCUCAGGUUGUCUUCUCCAGUCAAGUCCAACAUUGACAUUGUCAUUCCCAAAUCUGCCGAAAGCACAGUUACGUCUUUAUUUUAACUGCCUGCCCCUAGUCCACUAGCACCAUCAGUAAGGAAAUCAGCCAAAAUCCAUCUAACAAACUUGUUCUGGUUAGCUGGUGAUGACUAGGUUGAGGUUGAUGGAUGAGAAGUUGAGAGGCUCGGAAGAUCCUGCCAAUGUAAAGGUAUCAACAAAUUGGCCAGAAAGGCAAAUGUAUAGCAUUUCAAGCGGUGAUGUGAAGCAAAUCUACUUCACAAGCACAGCCCUUUGCUAUUAUAAAUCUGACCAGAGUUCUCUCAAGAACCUUACUUUUCGCAGCACAUGGCGAUGAAGAUGGCAACCUCUGGCAGCAAUAGCUCUAAUAUGAGCACCGCAAAAAGUAACGAUCAAGAACAGACCCUCUGCAGAUCCUUGGAGCUUUCCUUUAAUCGGUUUCAGCGUGAUCAAUCACCAGUGUCCCAAUUAGGAUGCAGCCAAAGCUGUUGUUUCUCGAAUCUGGGCAGAAGUUGUUUCUAUACUGCGGACAACAAGUCCAGCAAUAACACAUCUUCUUCUUCUGUUCCUACUGCAGUUACAUGUUCUAUCAGCCGUCCGCAAGUUGAUUUAGAUGCUUGUAACCUAUUUUCAUGUAAUUUCCAGCAGUCAAGAUCAAGAAAUUGCGAAUCAUUGGUUUAUGAUCAUUCAGAAAACCAACAAUGCCUUGCUCUUCAGUCCCCUGAUGAUCUUCAAUACCUAGUGAACUUUCACAUUUACAACAAACGGAAUGACCAAAGUUAUCAAUUGCCCCUGCCACAGAACUGCACUAAACCUGCCGUUUUAAGCAGCGGACAUCAGCAUAGUAAGAAAUAUCUCAAAUCCAAGGUAUGUAAUAUAACAUGGACAUCUCAAAUUUAUGUACACUUUCUUCGAAAGAGGGGUCUAUCACCUUCAUGCAAAUUUGUGUGUCAGUUAGAGAAGGGGUCCUCGGUUUCUAGAAAUGAAGCUGCAUUUGAUGCCAAUCCUUGUGGAAACUCCACUUCAUCAACUGCUGCUAUUUCUAAUAAAAGACGAAUUAAAUGGACUCCACAUCUUCACAACCGAUUUCUUGAAUGCGUUAAUCGUCUGGGAGGAGCUGAAAGAGCGAAACCAAAGUUGAUUCUGAAGCUAAUGGACGUCAAAGGGUUGACAAUCUUUCACAUUAAGAGUCACUUGCAGGUACUGCAACAUAAUGACUUUCUGUCUACUAGCCGAAAAUCAAUGCCCUUUCCUAACAUUUUUUUCCGGGAUAAAACCAAAACUUUAUUUGCCUAUUACAUCACAGAAAUGUCGCAUCACCAAGUACAUUGCAGAAUCUAGAGAAGGUAAUUCUCUGCCUCCACUACAAUGAGCAGGAACGAACAUACCUUGCAAUUGACAGGAGCUCUAUUAUUAUUGAAGACGGAUCGAUGCGUAACUAAUCUUUGGUUUUUGCUUGGCAAUGCAGUAAUUUCUUUUAUGUGCGUGAAUCAUAUUGUACAUGCAGGAAAAUCAGAGAACAAUUUUGACACAAUGCCAGAGCAUGACCUCAAUACGUAAGCUACGACUUGCUUGUUGUUUAUAAACUCUGGUAUAAAAACUUAAGAAGAGCACAAAACAAGCACUAGCUAUGAGAGGAGUGAAAGUUUCAAGUGUCGAAUGUCUGUCUUGGAGUAGGACGUCACGAUAUGAGUAAAAUAAGUGCAGUGAAUAUUUGUUGGCAACAGAGGCAAGCGGAUUUCAGAAGCUUAUCGCAGAACCUUGCAGAUGCAGCUGAAUGUACAAAAGCGACUACUUCAACAGUUGGAGAUGCAAAGAAGUUUACAGAUGAAGAUUGAAGAACAGGGAAGGCAGUUAAAACGCUUCUUAGAGCAGAGUCUUUACAACAAAAAUUCAGCACCCCAAUCAGAUCCUCCUGCAAUCCACAACUUCUAAUGUCUUAUUUGAAGUC